CGACCGGCGCACGGGUGAGUAACGCGUAUGCAACCUGCCUGAUACCGGGGUAUAGCCCAUGGAAACGUGGAUUAACACCCCAUAGUACUUUUAUCCUGCAUGGGAUGUGAGUUAAAUGUUCAAGGUGUCGGAUGGGCAUGCGCCCUAUUAGUUAGUUGGCGGGGUAACAGCCCACCAAGACGAUGAUAGGUAGGGGUUCUGAGAGGAAGGUCCCCCACAUUGGAACUGAGACACGGUCCAA
rnacentral:rRNA from 1 species